AGCAGGAAAUGGAAAAAUUUGAGAUUCUUUCCAGAGGAUUUCAAUCUGCCCUUCACUACAUGCUCCUGGUGGAGAUGAACUUGAAGUGGCGUUUGAUCUGCCGGUCCCGGUAGCCAGUCUCUGCUAAGCCUGGCUCAUCCCACAUCAAAGGAGACAAUAGUGAAGUCAGAGGAAGAAAAGCUGCCCACACUUCAAAGGGAAUUCCUCCUCCGGAAGUUGUUACAGCCUUUUAAGGAGAGUAAACAGCAGUACAGCUCACGGGACUCACAGUGCUCUGGGCCCAGCAUUUGGAGUCCCCUGCCCUGCCCUCCUGCCAUGGAUUGGCAGGAGGCUAAGCUGGCGGUGGACACGCAGGUCGACAGACCCCUCCCCACCCGUCUAUGGCCCAGUUUUUAUGGACAGAGAGGGGCAGAGACAGGCUGAAACGGGUUGGGGAGUUUCCUGGCACUCUAACUGGCCACGGAGGCGGCUGAUCGGCGCGGACCCUCUUGUGGGCCCUGGGUACCUCAGGUUGGCUCUGCUAUUAGACACCUAUGCAUGAGAAGAGAUUCCAUUGAGUCACCACCAGAAAAGCCAAGAGCAGAGAUGCCUCUUCCUGUCCCAUCGGCCGGGCUCUGCCUUCCUAAAAUAGGAU
rnacentral:lncRNA from 1 species